CAGAGGGGGCGAGCGUUGUUCGGAAUUACUGGGCGUAAAGGGCGCGUAGGCGGCCUUCUAAGUCGAACGUGAAAUCCCCGGGCUCAACCCGGGAACUGCGUCCGAUACUGGAAGGCUUGAAUCCGGGAGAGGGAUGCGGAAUUCCAGGUGUAGCGGUGAAAUGCGUAGAUAUCUGGAGGAACACCGGUGGCGAAGGCGGCAUCCUGGACCGGCAUUGACGCUGAGGCGCGAAAGCCAGGGGAGCAAACGGGAUUAGAUACCCCGGUAGUCCUGGCCCUAAACGAUGAAUGCUUGGUGUGGCGGGUAUCGAUCCCUGCCGUGCCGAAGCUAACGCAUUAAGCAUUCCGCCUGGGGAGUACGGUCGCAAGGCUG
rnacentral:rRNA from 1 species